rnacentral:lncRNA from 1 species
AUCACAUCUCCUGAGGUGCUGAUGCGUCGAAUGGGAUCGUACAAGAAUGACGAAAACAACAGACAAGAAAAUAGAGCGAGUAUAACAAAGCAAGGAUUAUCAAUGAACCAUGUCGAUAUAAUAAAA